UGAGGAAUAUUGGUCAAUGGGCGCAGGCCUGAACCAGCCAAGUAGCGUGAAGGAUGACUGCCCUAUGGGUUGUAAACUUCUUUUAUAAAGGAAUAAAGUCGGGUAUGUAUACCCGUUUGCAUGUACUUUAUGAAUAAGGAUCGGCUAACUCCGUGCCAGCAGCCGCGGUAAUACGGAGGAUCCGAGCGUUAUCCGGAUUUAUUGGGUUUAAAGGGAGCGUAGAUGGAUGUUUAAGUCAGUUGUGAAAGUUUGCGGCUCAACCGUAAAAUUGCAGUUGAUACUGGAUAUCUUGAGUGCAGUUGAGGCAGGCGGAAUUCGUGGUGUAGCGGUGAAAUGCUUAGAUAUCACGAAGAACUCCGAUUGCGAAGGCAGCCUGCUAAGCUGCAACUGACAUUGAGGCUCGAAAGUGUGGGUAUCAAACAGGAUUAGAUACCCUGGUAGUCCACACGGUAAACGAUGAAUACUCGCUGUUUGCGAUAUACUGCAAGCGGCCAAGCGAAAGCGUUAAGUAUUCUACCUGGGGAGUACGCCGGCAACGGUGAAACUCAAAGGAAUUGACGGGGGCCCGCACAAGCGGAGGAACAUGUGGUUUAAUUCGAUGAUACGCGAGGAACCUUACCCGGGCUUAAAUUGCAGAUGAAUUACGGUGAAAGCCGUAAGCCGCAAGGCAUCUGUGAAGGUGCUGCAUGGUUGUCGUCAGCUCGUGCCGUGAGGUGUCGGCUUAAGUGCCAUAACGAGCGCAACCCUUGUUGUCAGUUACUAACAGGUUCCGCUGAGGACUCUGACAAGACUGCCAUCGUAAGAUGUGAGGAAGGUGGGGAUGACGUCAAAUCAGCACGGCCCUUACGUCCGGGGCUACACACGUGUUACAAUGGGGGGUACAGAGGGCCGCUACCACGCGAGUGGAUGCCAAUCCCCAAAACCUCUCUCAGUUCGGACUGGAGUCUGCAACCCGACUCCACGAAGCUGGAUUCGCUAGUAAUCGCGCAUCAGCCACGGCGCGGUGAAUACGUUCCC
rnacentral:rRNA from 1 species